rnacentral:rRNA from 1 species
AUGUCAGAAGAUCCUCGAGGAGGCCACGAGAUAGGGGGGCGCACCCACCCCCCUGCGCGUGCCCUACCCUCUCGUGGGCCCCUCGAGGCUCCCCCGACUAACUUCUUUCGCCUAUAUAAGCCUACAUACCCUAAAAACAUCGAAUAUCAAGAUAGAUCAGAAGUUCCGCCGCUGCAAGCCUCUGUAAUCACGAGAAAUCAAUCUAGGCCCUCUACGACACCCUGCCGGAGGGGGCCAUCAUCAUCGGAGGCCACGGAGGAGGAUCUCAGAGGGGCCAUCAUCGCCAUGAAGGCCAAGGACCAGAGAGGGAAACCCAUGGAGGAGGAAGCACAAGGGGGAGAACCUCUCCUCCUCUCUCUUGGUGGAACCGGAGUGCCAUCAGGAGGGGAAUCAUCACCGCGGUGA